UGACUUCAGGCGGUCCGGGUUCGACCACCGAGGUCGCCUCGAUCACGUUGAAGCGCGAGGCUUUCGAGAAGUGGCGGACCGGCUUCUCGUCGGCAUUCGCCGUCAUUCUUUUCGUCACGGUGUUCGGCCUCGCCAACAUCUAUGUCAAGGCAUUGAACCGGGUGAGGCAGCGAUGAGCACUGGCAUCGUCACCGCCCACUCCGUCGUCGAGCCCAGUGGACGCGCCAAAACAGUUGCCGCGACCCUCGUCAUCGCCUACGCGGUGAUCUCGAUGAUCCCGCUUGCCUGGAUCCUUCUCACCGGCUUCAAGUCGCCUCCCGAUUCGAUCAGCUAUCCGCCCAAGGUGAUCUUCGAGCCGACGCUCGAGGGCUACUGCAAUCUCUUCACGACGCGCUCGCGGCAGACGGCCGAGUACAUGGCCACGCUGCCGCCGCCCGUCGGCACCUGCGAGGAGAUCGCGCGCGGCCGCAACAUGGUCAUUGCCGGCUCCUCCAACUAUGUGCCGCGCUUCAUCAACUCGCUUGUCAUCGCGUUCGGCUCGACGUUUUGCGCGGUCGCGCUGGGGACGCUGGCCGCCUACGGUUUCUCGCGUUUCAAGGUGCCGCUCGCCGACGACCUGCUGUUCUUCAUCCUGUCGACGCGCAUGAUGCCGCCGAUCGCCGUCGCCAUCCCGAUCUAUCUCAUGUACCGCGAGCUCGGACUCUCCGAUACGCGGCUCGGCAUGAUCCUGCUCUACACUUCGGUCAACGUCUCGCUCGCGGUCUGGCUGCUCAAGGGCUUUAUCGAUGAGAUCCCGCGCGAAUACGAGGAGGCGGCGAUGGUCGACGGCUACACGCGGUUUUCCAUGCGUUCUGGAAGGUGGUGUUGCCGCAGGCGACGACCGGCAUCGCGGCGACCGCCAUCUUCUGCCUCAUAUUUGCGUGGAACGAGUACGCCUUCGCCGUGCUUCUCACCUCGGGGGAGGCGCAGACAGCGCCGCCCUUCAUUCCCAUCAUUAUCGGCGAAGGCGGCCAGGAUUGGCCGGCCGUGGCGGCGGGAACGACGCUGUUCCUAGUGCCGAUCCUUGCUUUCACCGUGCUGCUGCGCCGGCACUUGUUGCGCGGCAUCACCUUCGGCGCGGUGCGCAAGUGACGCCCGCCGACGAUAUGGCACCCGGCACGGCGACCCGAAGCGCCGCGCAGCGCCGGUUUUUUCGCCGCGGACCGUGGGAGGCGGCGGCGAUCGGGCUGAUCAUCGCCGGCGUCGUCAUGCUGAUGCAGCCGUUCUCGCUAAGGCUCUACGGCUACUCGUUCGCGACGGUGCUGCUCGGCACGGUGAUGUUCAUCGUCGUCU
rnacentral:misc_RNA from 1 species